AUUGAACGCUGGCGGCACGCCUAACACAUGCAAGUCGAGCGGUAGCAUGGUUAGUAGCAAUACUAACUGAUGACGAGCGGCGGACGGGUGAGGAACACGUAGGAACCUGCCCAAGAGAGGGGGAUAACGAAGGGAAACUUUAGCUAAUACCGCAUAAUUCUCUGAGGAGAAAAGUUGCCCGUAAGGGUAGCGCUUUUGGAGGGGCCUGCGUCCGAUUAGUUAGUUGGUGAGGUAAUGGCUCACCAAGACUGUGAUCGGUAACUGGUCUGAGAGGACGACCAGUCACACUGGGACUGAGACACGGCCCAGACUCCUACGGGAGGCAGCAGUGGGGAAUCUUGGACAAUGGGGGCAACCCUGAUCCAGCGAUGCCGCGUGGGUGAAGAAGGCCUUCGGGUUGUAAAGCCCUUUAGGCUGGGAAGAAGUUUAUGGGAUGAAUAAUCCUGUAAAUUGACGGUACCAGCAGAAUAAGCACCGGCAAACUCUGUGCCAGCAGCCGCCGUAA
rnacentral:rRNA from 1 species